UCAGACACGUCAGAGUUUGAUCCUGGCUCAGGGUGAACGCUGGCGGCGUGCCUAACACAUGCAAGUCGAGCGCGGUCCCUUUGGUGCUUGCACCAAAGACGACUGAGCGGCGGACGGGUGAGUAACGCGUGGGUAACCUGCCCUGUACACAUGGAUAACAUACUGAAAAGUUUACUAAUACAUGAUAAUAUAUAUUUACGGCAUCGUAGAUAUAUCAAAGUGUUAGCGGUAUAGGAUGGACCCGCGUCUGAUUAGCUAGUUGGUGAGAUAACUGCCCACCAAGGCGACGAUCAGUAGCCGACCUGAGAGGGUGAUCGGCCACAUUGGAACUGAGACACGGUCCAA
rnacentral:rRNA from 1 species